AACGAACGCUGGCGGCAUGCCUAACACAUGCAAGUCGAACGAGACCUUCGGGUCUAGUGGCGCACGGGUGCGUAACGCGUGGGAACCUGCCUUUUGGUUCGGAAUAACUCAGAGAAAUUUGAGCUAAUACCGGAUAAUGUCUUCGGACCAAAGAUUUAUCGCCAUUAGAUGGGCCCGCGUAAGAUUAGCUAGUUGGUGGGUAAAGGCCUACCAAGGCGACGAUCUUUAGCUGGUCUGAGAGGAUGAUCAGCCACACUGGGACUGAGACACGGCCCAGACUCCUACGGGAGGCAGCAGUGGGGAAUAUUGGACAAUGGGCGAAAGCCUGAUCCAGCAAUGCCGCGUGAGUGAUGAAGGCCUUAGGGUUGUAAAGCUCUUUUACCCGAGAUGAUAAUGACAGUAUCGGGAGAAUAAGCUCCGGCUAACUCCGUGCCAGCAGCCGCGGUAAU
rnacentral:rRNA from 1 species